rnacentral:rRNA from 1 species
GAUGAACGCUGGCGGCGUGCCUAACACAUGCAAGUCGAGCGGAGAAUUGUUGCUUGCAACCAUUCUUAGCGGCGGACGGGUGAGUAACACGUGGGUAACCUGCCCUAAACAAAGGGAUAACAAUGAGAAAUCAUUGCUAAUACCGUAUAAGCUUACACUAUCGCAUGAUAGAGUAAGAAAAGAUUUAUCGGUUUAGGAGGGGCCCGCGUCUGAUUAGCUAGUUGGAGAGGUAACGGCUCACCAAGGCGACGAUCAGUAGCCGACCUGAGAGGGUGAUCGGCCACAUUGGGACUGAGACACGGCCCAAACUCCUACGGGAGGCAGCAGUGGGGAAUAGUGCACAAUGGAGGAAACUCUGAUGCAGCAACGCCGCGUGAAGGAAGAAGGUUUUCGGAUCGUAAACUUCUAUCUACAGGGAAGAAAAAAAUGACGGUACCUGAGUAAGAAGCCCCGGCUAACUACGUG